AGGCGAGUAGCCGACCAACCGUCCUGCCCGUCCAGGUCCAGCAGUCCAGGAUUUCCCAACCCUAGCUAGCAGCAGCUGCCGCCGUCGAGCACCAGUCCACGGUCUGCUAUGGCGCCGUCCUGACACUGCCGCCGUCGAGCAGCUACCACAGGUGGGCUACCAGUCCACGGUCUGCUAUGGCGCCGUCCUAACACUGCCACCGUCGAGCAGCUACCACAGCAAGCAUGAACGGAUAGACCCUGUGAAGUUAAGUAUAUCCACUUUUGAAGCAUGGCAACAGAGUCUGAAAUGCAAGCAAAAUGCAUUAAAGACAGACACCCUGUUGGCUGCAAGGUUACCUAUAGUUUGGUUGCCUCUUGUCUUCGUUGGGAAAGCUUUGGAGUUGAUGUAAACACCUUUCGACAUCUUUGCUCCCAUGAUAGACGGUGGGAUGUUUCUUGUAAUGUUGACAGCUAUCAAACUAUUAUGAUGCCUCUUGUAAAUCUUA